UUCAGUGUUUAAGCAUACUCAAUAUUAUACAUUUUGUUCAGAUCAAUAUUAUUGUUUAGAAAUUUAAAUAUUUUUUCAUGGAAGAGGAAAUAAUUUUCAACUUAAUUCUUACUGAUUGCUGUGUUGCAUGGAUUUAGCUAAAUCAUACAGAAUGCCCAUCUCUAAAAAUGCCCAUUUGUAAGAUACAAAACAGGAUAAUUAGGUAUUUUCAACUGAAGCCAGUUGAUCAAAUCUUGACUCUGGUGAAGGUGAUGAUGCUUUGAUGGUGUUGGGAUUUUAGCCCAUCUCUAAAUAAAAUGUUCUCCUACUCUUUUUAAACCAUUAAGAUGUCUUUAUAUGCCUAUAUAAUUAUGCUGAGAAGUUAGGUUCUUUCUGUUUCUCCCAGAUGUUGUGUGUUUGUUCAGUGCAAUGGGGAAAAUAAGCUUGAGAGCAUCUUGUCCUUGAGCAGCAAGGUGACAACGGCACUCUGAGCUGCAAGAAGACACUUGGUGCAGCAACUCGCUGGAGAAGCUGUGUCUUUCCAGCUUUUGUUCAUGUGGAAGCUGAAAUCACAGUCUCCGGCAGAGAUACCUAGGUAUGAAAAUUCACGUGUAAAGAUGAAGAAGGCUGGGAGCAUCGUGGCUACCGACCCAGUCUACAGCUGUACUAACCCUAUCACUGGGUUAAGCCAAUUGAAGCCAAUGGUUUUGCACCAAGGGAUGCAAUGACUCAGUUUCUCCAUCCAACCUCAUGGUCCAUCGUCUUUCUCUAGCCUUUUAGUGCCUUCCAGUUAGUCUAUCCUAAUGUUCAAAUAAAAAGAA